rnacentral:lncRNA from 1 species
CCGGCUGGUGCGGUCUCUUCCGUUCGCAGCCGGCGGGGCAGCGGGUGAGUGUCUGGUGCGUGGAUUCGGACUGUGGCAGGAUCCGAUGCCAUCCUCGGUAACAGCACCUUGUCCCUGCCAAAAGCAUGCAGGACGAAGGGAAGCCCAGCAGCGCCCUGCUGAGCCCUGGGUGCAGCACCUCUUUCUAUUUGGAAAUCAAGGAUGAGGCUUUUGGAUGAGAGUAUCCUUCCCACUAACCACCCAUGAGUCUAUAAGGAAGGAGGUGAAAAUUUCUUUGAUCAGUCUUGUUUGUCUGCUCAUCUGCACAAUGGAUGCAAUGUGUCUUCCACCCAAUGAUCCUGUACUAAAGAAGUGCCUGUCUCGAGCUAGCGAGCAGGAUUUCAAGGUGUGA